rnacentral:tRNA from 1 species
GCUCAGUGGUUGAGCGCGUGGAUUUUAACUACGUGGUCGUGGGUUCGAUCCCAU